rnacentral:misc_RNA from 1 species
AUUUAAGGUUGUAUGCGAUUCUAUCUAUAGUUAUUAGUUUUUUGUUUUCAUAUUAUCAAGUCAAAGUUAUUUGACAGCUUUAUGAUCUUUUGAAGCAGAAAUGCUGACAUUGCUUAAGUAGAUUUUAGUUGUUUGAUGGAUUUAUCUUUUUUUAUUAUUACUAUUAACGUUAAACUAAUAGAUGCACACACCAUGCUAGUAAACAGUUAAUAAUCA